rnacentral:lncRNA from 1 species
UAAAAUAAAACAAAUUCGACAUUUCAUGGCAAAAUUUGAAAACAAACCGCAAUGAUUUUGAACUGAUGGGAUAAAAUGAAGGAUUAAAACGCAAAUAACCCAUCAGUGUUUAAAACCCUUUUCAUCUCCAAUUAAAAGCCUACUCUGCAGCAGCAAUAGACGCAAAGUUGCUUCAUCUUCCUUUUUUCUUUUUUUGUUUUAAAACAACAGAGGGAAGAAAGAGGGAUCUGCUAGGCCUUCUUUAAAGCCCUAACUACCGCCACGCCACCGCCUUUCAAGCUUCGCCGCCGACUCCGAUUCAGGUAAGUUUCGCCCUUUCCUUUUUUGCCUUUUCUUUUGCACCAAAAACAGAGAAGCAAAGAGAAAAAAAAUAAAAUAAAUAAAACACAAAGAAAAUUACCUUCAAAAAUUGUUUUUGAUUAUUUGUUUGUAUUUCAGUAUUUUUCCAAUACAAUAUUUUUCUCUUUUUAGUACCCAAUCCCCCUUUUCUUUGUGAUCGAUUUUGGCUUUUUAAAACCGAUCUAUAAAACAUUCAUUUCCUAUUUUUUGUUUUCGUUCUUUUGUUUAUUCUUUUCCCCAUUCCUCGCAUGCUUCCUUUUGCUGUUGUUUUUGUCUCUGUUGCAGGUGUGUCCGGUGUGGGUGGUGCACGUGAUGGCCAAGGGCAGAGGUAGCAUGGGGCGACUGAUCAGAGGCGUGCAUGCGUGAGGGGAGGUGAAGCGGCGGCAGCUACAAAGCAUGAGGCUAGGGUUUUUUUGUUUGGUUGAAAACUAGUAUAGUUUGGGCCAUUCGGGCCUCUAAGGUUUUUAUCAUUAUUAGGCAUUUGGAUUGGGUUUGUUUUUUGGGUUAAUUUUGUUGUAAUGGUCUGUUAAUUUUUAUUAGUCUUGGUCCAUUUGGGUUUUAUGGUCUGGGCCUGGGCAAAAAUGGGCUUUUACAGCUGCCCCUCUUUGCUCAUUUUCGUGUAACGAGAAUAGAGCAAAGACAUCAAAAGGGCCAAUUUUGCCCGGCCUUGCCGAGUCUUGACUUUUUGGUGCUCAUCUUUUUUAAGUAGCCUUAUUCCAGCCUGCUACGUCUUGUUGCUUCGAUCCACUCUACUGCAACUUCAGAUACGCCUUGUAGCUUCAAUCUACUCUGCUACGACUCCAUGGGGAUGAGAUUUGUGUUUUUAGUGUGCUCCACUACUAUUUAGGGAGAUAAGACUGGAUGUGAUCUGCUCCACUACUACUUAGGGAGAUAAGACUGUAAUCUUCAAUCUAUUCCACUGCCAAAUACAGGGAGAUAGAGUUAUCAGCUUCAAUGUACUCCACUGUAGUUACAGGAAGGUAAAAUCUGCCAUCUUCGAUCUACUCCACCACUAGUAUGGGAAGACAAGAUCUGUAUCUUGGAUCCACUUCCUAUCAAUAUAGGAAGAUAGGACCUGCUAUCUUCGAUCUACUUCACGCCAAUACAUGAAGACAAGAUCUGCUUUCUGCGAUCUACUUCGCCACCAAUAUGGGAAGACAAGAUCUGCAUCUUCGACCCACUUCCUAUCAAUAUAGGAAGAUAGGACCUGCUAUCUUCGAUCUACCUCACGCCAAUACAUGAAGACAAGAUCUGCUUUCUGCGAUCUACUUCGCCACCAAUAUGGGAAGACAAGAUCUGCAUCUUGGAUCCACUUCCUAUCAAUAUAAGAAGAUAGGACCUGCUAUCUUCGAUCUACUUCACGCCAAUACAUGAAGACAAGAUCUGCUUUCUGCGAUCUACUUCGCCACCAAUAUGGGAAGACAAGAUCUGCGUCGUCGAUCCACUUCCAAUCAUUAUAGAAAGAUAGGACCUGUUAUCUUUGAUCUACUUCACGCCAAUACAUGAAGACAAGAUCUACUUUCUGCGAUCUACUUCGCCACCAAUAUGGGAAAACAAGAUCUGCAUCUUGGAUCCACUUCCUAUCAAUAUAGAAAGAUAGGACCUGCUACCUUCGAUCUACUUCACGCCAAUACAUGAAGACAAGAUUUGCUUUCUUCGAUCUACUUCGCCACCAAUAUGGGAAGACAAGAUCUGCAUCUUCGAUCCACUUCCUACCAAUAUAGGAAGAUAGGACCUGCUACUUUCGAUCUACUUCACGCCAAUACAUGAAGACAAGAUCUGCUUUCUUCGAUCUACUUCGCCACCAAUAUGGGAAGACAAGAUCUGCAUCUUCGAUCUACUUCGCCACCAAUAUGGGAAGACAAGAUCUGCAUCUUCGAUCCAUUUCCUACCAAUAUAGGAAAACCGGAUCAGCUAUCUUCGACCUACUUCACGCCAAUACAUGAAGACAAGAUCUGCUUUCUUCGAUCUACUUCGCCACCAAUAUGGGAAGACAAGAUCUGCAUCUUCGAUCUACUUCGCCACCAAUAUGGGAAGACAAUAUCUGCAUCUUCGAUCCACUUCCUACCAAUAUAGGAAAACCGGAUCAGCUAUCUUCGACCUACUUCACGUCAAUACAUGAAGACAAGAUCUACUUUCUUCGAUCUACUUCUUGUCCCGGGAGAUAGAACUAUCAGCUUCAAUGUACUCCACUGUGGUCAGGGAGGUAAAAUCUGCCAUCUUUUGAUCUGCUUCGCUGCCAAAUACAGGAAGGCAAGAUCUGCAAUCUUCAAUCUAUUCCACUGCCAAAUACAGGGAGAUAGAGUUAUCGGCUUCAAUGUACUCCACUGUAGUCACAUGGAGGUAAAAUCUGCCAUAUUUGAUCUUCAAUCUAUUCCACUGCCAAAUGCAGGGAGAUAGAGUUAUCGGCUUCAAUAUACUCCACUGUAAUCAGGGAGGUAAAAUCUGCCAUCUUUGAUCUGCUUCGCUGUCAAAUUCAGGAAGGCAAGAUCUGCAAUCUUCAAUCUGCUCUGCUACAAACGAGAGAGGCAAGGUUUGUCUUUGAUUUUUACUGAUCUGUUCUCUAGGGAACAUGACCUGUAUAAUGAACCUAAUUAUGCCUAAUGAUUAGGAUGGCAUGAUCAGAAUGGAUCAAAUGUUCCUAACUAGAUGUGCGUGAAUGACAUUUGAAUGAAUGCAGAAUGUCAUGAAAAUGAUUCCUUAAUGCUUAGGUUGUCAUUCCUCAUUGUUCAUCAAGGUUCUAUCACUGAUGCCUUCUUGUUCAGCCAGUACCUUUGAUAGAAAACCUAAAGAAAUAGACGCUAUUUAGACUAUCAUUUCUCAAAUGUUUCCAACCCUUAGGUUUGGUUAGUUCUAAACAAUAGUCUUGUUUCAGGUCCUCGUAUUAUUUAGAAACUUUCAGAGUAAUAUGCAGAACUCCUUCUGCCUGUGUAUUGUCAGUCCAUUAAUCGUUAUUUCAAUGAAAAAUGCUUGAAAAAGAUUAUCAAAAUGGACAAAAUGAAAUUUUGUUGAGAGCAAAGCUCUUAAACAAACAAAUCAAUCAAGAUAGCAAAUUUUGCUGAGAUACGAGAUGAAUAAGAUGAAAAAGAUUAUCACAAUGGAUAAGACGAAAAUUUGUUGAGAGCAAAGCUCUAAAUGAACAAAUUAAUCAAGAUAGCAAAUUUUGCUAAAGUACAGAACGAGGAUAAAUUAAUCAAGAUGAUGUAUUUUGUCAAAAAUACAAAAAAUGAAUAAAAUGGAAAUAGGUGCCCCAGAUAUCGUAGCAUGAGCUUCUCUGCCCCAAACUUCUUAAGGACCCUUUUGAACUUGAUAUGUGUUUAGAAGUCCUAGAAGGCUUUGUUGAUGCCCCAUCUUUGAUCGAAAACUACUUUAUGCCUCAUCUUUGAUCGAAAAUUUGAAUUGCCCAUUCCUGGGUUUUCAAUUCAAAACCCCUUUGGUCUCAAGGUGCCCUUUGCGGGUUUUCGCCUUGGCCUCUCCUUUUUUUUUUUAGGCAAAGUACCUCUUCACUGAAUCCGAAUUCACAGGAUUGGGCAAGCUUUUGCCAUCCAUCCCAGUUAAAAUUAAUGCCCCUCCUGAAAAGGCCUUUUUUACUACAUAAGGUCCCUCCCAGUUUGGCAUCCACUUUCCUCUGAAGUCUUUUUGUAUGGGAAGGAUCUUCUUCAGUACCAAAUCCCCUUCAUGGAAGUUUCUAGGACGAACUUUCUUAUUGUAAGCUCGCAUCAUUUGUUUCUGGUACAUUUGACCAUGACGGAUAGCUCUUAACCUCCUUUCUUCAAUCAAGUUCAGCUGAUCAUAUCGGGAUUGGACCCAUUCUGCUUCGUCUAACUUUAGUUCUGAAAAAACUCGGAGGGAGGGAAUUUUAACCUCAAUUGGUAGCACUGCCUCCAUUCCAUAAACCAAAGAGAAUGGUGUUGCCCCGGUAGAAGUCCUGACGGACGUUCGAUAAGCAUAGAGGGCGAAUGGCAACUUCUCGUGCCAAUCUCUAUAGGUCUCAGUCAUUUUCUCCACAAUCCUUUUGAUAUUUUUAUUGGCUGCCUCCACCGCACCAUUCAUCUUUGGACGGUAUGGUGAUGAGUUGUGGUGCUUGAUAUUGAAUUGACUACAAACCUCUACUAUCGUGCUAUUAUUCAAAUUUAAUGCGUUGUCAGAUAUAAUCCUUUCGGGCAUUCCAUACCGACAUAUGAUUUCCUUUUUUAAAAACCUGCUGACAGCUGCCUUUGUGACGUUCGCGUAAGAAGUAGCCUCUACCCACUUAGUAAAGUAGUCAAUCACUACAAAAAUGAAACGAUGUCCGUUUGAAGCCUUUGGCGAUAUCAGCCCAAUGACGUCCAUGCCCCACAUGGAGAAAGGCCAUGGGGAAGUCAUGACGUGAAGAGGUGAUGGAGGCACAUGGAUUUUGUCUCCGUAAAUCUGGCAUUUAUGGCACUUCUUAGCAUAUUUGAUGCAGUCUCCUUCCAUGGUAGACCAAUAAUAUCCAAAUCUCAUGAUUUGUCUGGCCAUUGUGAAACCGUUAGCGUGUGUUCCACAAAUACCAUCAUGGACUUCUUCCAAGAUCUGUUUGGCCUCCACAGCGUCCACACAUCUUAACAGCACCUGAUCUUUUCCUCCUUUGUACAGGAUCUCUCCAUCUAAGACGUAAUCACUGGCCAGCCUCCUCAACAUUCUCUUGUCAUUCUCAGUUGCUUGGUUUGGGUAUUCACGAUUUUUCACGUAUCGCAAUAUGUCCUGGUACCAAGGGUUGUCGUCCUUUUCUUCUUCCUUGUCAAUGUUACAACAGUGGGCUGGAGCAUCAUAAAUGCUCAUUUGGAUAGGUUUCACAUCCUCUGGUCUAUUUACUUUGAUCAUGGAAGCUAAUGUAGCUAAAGCGUCAGCCAUCUGAUUCUCGUCUCGUGGGAGGUAACAAAAAGUGAUGUCGUCAAACUCCUCAAUCAAUUCUAGGACUAUCAUUCGGAAACUAAUCAACUUAGGGUCUCUUGUUUCCCAUUCGCCUUUGAGCUGAUAAAUUACCAAUGCCGAAUCCCCACAUACCUCAAGUACCUUGAUUUUGCGUUCCAUAGCCGCACGGAUUCCCAUUAUACAUGCUUCAUAUUUCGCCAUGUUAUUUGCGUAAUCAAAAUCUAGUUUACUGGUGAAAGGAUAAUGAUCACCGUUUGGAGAUACCAAGACUGCCCCAAUCCCGUUGCCCAUGGCAUUUGAGGCUCCGUCAAAAUUUAAUUUCCAAGUAUUGCCUUCUUGUGUGCUUGCUUCAGUAGUUGCCACAUACAUCAGAUCCUCAUUUGGGAAAUCAAAGUUCAAAGGCUCAUAAUCGUCCAGGGUUCUACUUGCUAGAAAAUCUGCUAUCGCGCUCCCUUUUACAGCCUUUUGAUUCACAUAGGUUAUGUCAAAUUCAGAUAGUAGAAUUUGCCAUCGGGCCAUCCUUCCGUUUAGAGCAGUUGACUCCAUCAUGUAUUUCAGAAGGUCUAACUUUGAGAUUAACCAAGUCGUAUGGUACAACAUGUAUUGUUUCAAUCUCCGAGUAGUCCAAACCAAUGCGCAACAUAAUUUUUCAAUUGGCGAAUAUCUCGUUUCGUAUUCAGUGAACUUCUUACUGAGAUAAUAGAUCGCUCUUUCCUUUCGUCCUGACUCAUCAUGUUGGCCGAGCACGCACCCCAUAGAAUUCUCAAAUACUGCCAAGUAUAGUAUCAGUGGCUUGUCAGGGCAAGGUGGCAUCAGUACUGGGGCGUUGGACAAGUAAUGUUUAACUCUUUCGAAAGUUUUCUGGCACUCUUUAUCCCAUACACCUGGAUUGUGUUUCCUACGAAGACGGAAUAUGGGGUCACAUUUCUUAGUUAAUUGUGAAAUGAAUCGAGCGAUGUAAUUUAGUCUUCCUAGGAAACCCCGAACUUCUUUUUGAGUACUUGGCGGAGAUAAUUCUUGUAUGGCCUUAACUUUGUCUGGGUCAAUUUCAAUUCCUUUUUCGCUGACUAAGAAUCCUAGCAAUUUUCCUGAUCUAGCCCCGAAAGUACACUUGGCUGGGUUAAGUUUUAGCUGGAACUUCCUUAACCUUAGAAACAGUUUUCUCAGAACUUGCACGUGUUCCCCUUCUGUUCUGGAUUUUGCGAUCAUAUCAUCAACAUAAACUUCUAUCUCUUUAUGCAUCAUAUCAUGGAAUAAUGCUACCAUGGCUCUCUGAUACGUUGCUCCCGCAUUUUUCAAUCCAAAAGGCAUCACUUUAUAACAAAACGUCCCCCACAUCGUUAUGAAUGUGGUAUUCUCCCUGUCUUCAGAAAGCAUCUUAAUUUGGUUGUACCCGGAGAAACCAUCCAUGAAAGAGAACAGUGAGUAUCCGGCCGUGUUGUCUACCAAGGUAUCGAUAUGAGGCAGUGGGAAAUUAUCUUUUGGGCUGGCUUUGUUCAAGUCUCUGUAGUCCACACACAUUCGCACCUUCCCAUCUUUCUUAGGAACAGAGACUAUAUUGGCUACCCAUUCUGAGUACUUGACCACCUGUAAGAAACCAGCAUCAAAUUGCUUCUUAACUUCUUCCUUUAUUUUUAGCAAGACAUCAGGCCUCAUCCUUCGGAGCUUUUGUUGGACUGGUUUGCAUUCUUCUUUUAUAGGCAAUCGGUGUACCACGAUAUCAGUACUUAACCCUGGCAUAUCUUGGUAGGACCACGCGAAGACAUCUUUAAACUCUUGAAGCAACUCAACAAGGUCUUGCCUUGUUUCCUUGGCAAUGCAAGCGCCAAUUUUUACCUCUCUGCCCUCUUCUAAGAUCACAACUUCUACUGAUUCCUUAUAGGGUAGAAUUUGUUUUUCUUCUUCUUCCAUCAUUCUUAACAAAUCCGGAGAUAAAACGCUGUCUUGGUCACCUUCAAAAUCUUGAGGAUCAUCUAUACUCAUGUCUUGCUCAAAUAGGGACUCUGAAUUAGUAACAGAGUCACUCAUCUCGUUGAUAUCUGAAGACCUGUUAUUGGAACAAAUGGAGGCCCAAAUAAAAGGAUCUAAGAAUACUUGUAUGCAUAUUAUGAUUAUAAAGGGAAUGAAAAGAAUGAAAGAAUAUUUGCUCAAGAUGAAACUGAAUGAUAAGUUUUCACUGAAAUUAGAUUUUGGACAUGUGCCUUUUACAAAAGAUUCUUAUCACCCCCAGGCUUAGGGCAACACGUGUUCUGAAUAUUACUCUAGAUUAGCUCUAAAAAUACAGGGAUCUCUUCCACAGUCCCAUUGUUCAAAACACUCCUAAAUAUGCAAAAGUUUGGAGACUUUUAUUCCUCAGUUCCCUUUUCGGAUAUAUCAUUGAAAUUCCUCGAUAUUCCUUUCAGGCUUUUGACUUGUUCAAGGCAUUACAACUCUUUGCUCAUUAUCGUGUAACGUAAAGAUGCCUAGUCAUUUGACUUUUGUCGGUUUCCAAGUUAACUGGGAUAAUUUUACCUAAUUAGGGUCCUUUUAGGGAAAGUCUAAUGCAAAAUAAAGCAAUGCAAUGCAAAUGCAUGAAAUGAAUGCAAAAGAAAGGAAGGCGUUGAUUCUAAAUUUAAUUCUAUUAGAAUAAUUUUUCUAAAAAAUAGAUUUUUUUACAUGAAAAUAGUUUACAUAUGUGGUAUUGCCCUUCAUAGUCCAAGUAAACGCUGAUAUUUUCUUCAUGGUUAAACCCUGUAAAUUCUCCAAAAGAUGCAUUUGCUAGCUCCUUACUGCUUAAUCUGAGCCUCGAUCUCUUGCUCGCUUAUCUUCAAGAUACUCAUCAAAAAGUGCCAGCUCUUGGAUAAUCUUCGUUGGCAAUUAAAUCAAGUCAUGUAUUCCUUCGUGGACUUCCGGCUUUCUCUCGUCAUGCCUUCGUUGGCUUGAAUCUCUAGAAAUUACAUUAUGUAUUCCUCCGUGAACUACCAGCUUUCUCUCAUCGUGUUUACUCAGACUAUAUUCAGACGACCGCACUAUAAUCCACUUUAUCAAGAAAUUCGCUUCCUUAUGACAAACUAUUCUAUUUAGGAAUCGAAUUUCGAAUCAACACAUUCUUUUCUUUGAUGUAAUGCAAAUACAUGAAUGCAAAAAAAAAGGAAGACAUUGAUUCUGAAUUUAAUUUCAUUGGAACAACUUUUCUAGAAAACAAAUUCCUUUACAUAAAACGGACUACAUACACGGUCUUUCUCUCAUAUUCCAAGUGAAGACACCUUUCUUCCUCUUCAUAUCUGGAUCUUAUGGUCGAGUCUGACGAAUUCUCCAAGAGAUGUCUAUAUUAACUCCUUUUUUGCUUGAUCCAGGCUGCGACUCGUUGCUCACUUAUUUCUAUGAUACUUUUCAGCUCUUUUAAGAAAGUCAAGACAUGACAGCUCUCGAAUAAUCUUUGUUAGUUUCUGUCUUUAGGCAAUGAAGCAAAGUCUUGUAUUUCUUCACGGACUAUCAGCCUUCUUUCAUGUAUUCACUUGGACCAUAUUUAGACAACCGUGUUAUAAUCCACUUUAUCAAAAAAAAUUGUUUUCUUAUGACAAACUGUUCUAUUUAGCAAUCAAAUAUGAAUCAACACCUCCUUCCUAGGAUGAUGUAAUACAAUGCAAUUAUAAACAAAAAAAACAAAACACGUUAGUGCAGAAUAAAUAACAAAUAAAGCAAUUCGGGUGACCACUAGGGGUUUGGAGUGGCUCUACGUAGGGUAGGCUCCUAGGUCUCUCUAUAUGUGGUUUGGUUCUUGAGUAAGGGUACCUGAACCAACAGAUUCCUCGAUCCUCACCCAUUAUAGGCUCAUAUGGACCGAGUUCAGUUCAGGGGAAUACAUUUCCCUAUGGCCAUGCGGAGAUGAAAAUCUCACGAAGACAUAGGUACGGAUGUAUCCCGGAAGCGAUUCACUAUCCCAUGCGGAGGUGAAAACCUCACGAAGGCGUAGUUUCUCACUCCCACUAAAAAGGGUAUGACCAGCGGUCAUGCAAUGUAAUGUGCGAAGGUAUAAAAUAAAAUACAGAACACGAUAAAAAAUAUAACUCAGAACAAAAGAGAUGCAAUGAGAGGAUCGUAAAUUUAAAUCGAAUUUUCAACUUUCGACAAAAGACAAGAAAUAAUCAACACGUGGCUUGACUCUCUUAUUGUCCCCAGUGGAGUCGCCAAGCUGUUGACACCAUUUUUUUGUUAAAAAACGGGGUCGACUUGGAUUUUGAAAAAAAGAAUGAAAACGGGAGUCGCCACCAAUCCUUUUUUGAUGAGGUGUGAUCAGGUCACCUCAAAAAGUGGUUGUUUUUAAUAAAUGAUUUAAUUUUAUUAAAACAACGAUUUUGGUCUACGAAAUUUAGAAAAAUGAGUUCGGGAAUCGGUUACGCACGAGGAAGGAUUAGCACCCUCGACACGCCCAAAAUUGGUACCUUAGUUGAUUACAUAAUGUCUUAAUGUCGAAAAUUGAGAAUUUUGAAAAUUUUUAAAAAUUUUUACGAUCCUUAUAUUAAAACAUAAAAAAAAAUUCAGGAAAAGGGACAUAUUUCACGUUAUCUGAGAAAAAAAGAAUCAUAUCCAGUAAGUUAGGACACAAUGUCUCGAAUUCCCGAUAUCGUUUAAAACUCGAAUUUGAAAAGAUUCAUGUAAUAAAGUUUAAAAGAAUAUUCAAUUGUUUAAAUCAAAUAAAGAAAUCGCAACCCAAUACGUUAGGGCACAAUUUCUCAAAAUAUUAAACAUUGAAUAUUGCAUUUAUUUCGAAAAAUCCUUGUCUCGAGAAAGCAACGUGUCACAUCCAAUGCGUUAGGACACAACAUAUUAAAUUCUUGAUAACGAGCUUUUUAUCAUUUUUUUAAAGAGUAAUCUCGAUUAUUUAAAUUCAACGAAGAAAGUCGGAACCCAAUGCAUUAGGGCUCGAUUCUCUCGAAGAUCUAAAUAUCGAAUAUUACUUUUAUUUUAAAAUUUCAUUUUUGGCCAAUCCGAUUGAAAAGAUACGAUGUGACAACAAUGAUGAUAAUGUAAGUAAAAUAACACGAGCAAAACAUAAGAUAAAUAAAUAAUAAAACGAAGAAAACAAUCAAAAAGGCACAAUAACAAAUAAUAAACAAAUAAAAACUAAAACAUGAAUAACAAGCAUUUAAACAAAUAAAUAAAUGAACAAAAUGAUCCAAAAAAAAAUUAUGAAAAGUUAAAAGACAUAUAUAUAUGUACAAAAUUAUGAAAAUAUAAAAAAAAAACAUAUGUGUGUACACAUGAAUUAUAAACCAUAGAAAUAUCAUAAGAAAAUAUAAAUUUUUAAAAUAUAAGAGUAUGUAUAAAUACAUAUAUGCAUAUUUAUGAAAAAUAAAAGAGAUACAUGUAAGUACGUAUAUACAUAAAAAAUUUAAAAUGCAAAUAUAAAUAUAUUCAUGUAUAUAAGAAUAAUAAUAAAAGGCGUAUAUAUAUGCAUGUGAAUAUUAAGUAUGUACAUAUGAAUGUAUAUAAUAUAUAUAUAAACUAUAUAUAUAAAAAAAAUAUGGUAAUGAAAUAUAUACGCACUAUAUAUAUUUAAAACAUUUAGAAAUAAAAAUAUACACAUACAUUAUAAAGUACACAUGCGUGUAUGUAUGUAAGUAUAAUAAAAAAAUAAUAAUAGUAAUAAUAAUAAUAAUAAUAAUAACUAUAUUAAUAAAAUAAACUAAAAACUUAAAAUGAAAGAUUAUGGAUUAAAUUGAAAAUAAUUGAAGUUUCAGGGGCAAAUCUGAAACAAACAAAACACCAAUGAAUCGAAUGGAACAUGCAGUUAACAGUGGAGGACCGAAAGUCAAAUUAAUCCCUCCGUCCAAAACUCCACGCAGCAAUGGAUUAAAAUAAAACAAAUUCGACAUUUCAUGGCAAAAUUUGAAAACAAACCGCAAUGAUUUUGAACUGAUGGGAUAAAAUGAAGGAUUAAAACGCAAAUAACCCAUCAGUGUUUAAAACCCUUUUCAUCUCCAAUUAAAAGCCUACUCUGCAGCAGCAAUAGACGCAAAGUUGCUUCAUCUUCCUUUUUUCUUUUUUUGUUUUAAAACAACAGAGGGAAGAAAGAGGGAUCUGCUAGGCCUUCUUUAAAGCCCUAACUACCGCCACGCCACCGCCUUUCAAGCUUCGCCGCCGAUUCCGAUUCAGGUAAGUUUCGCCCUUUCCUUUUUUGCCUUUUCUUUUGCACCAAAAACAGAGAAGCAAAGAGAAAAAAAAAUAAAAUAAAUAAAACACAAAGAAAAUUACCUUCAAAAAUUGUUUUUGAUUCUUUGUUUGUAUUUCAGUAUUUUUCCAAUACAAUAUUUUUCUCUUUUUAGUACCCAAUCCCCCUUUUCUUUGUGAUCGAUUUUGGCUUUUUAAAACCGAUCUAUAAAACAUUCAUUUCCUAUUUUUUGUUUUCGUUCUUUUGUUUAUUCUUUUCCCCAUUCCUCGCAUGCUUCCUUUUGCUGUUGUUUUUGUCUCUGUUGCAGGUGUGUCCGGUGGGGGUGGUGCACGUGAUGGCCAAGGGCAGAGGUAGCAUGGGGCGACUGAUCAGAGGCGUGCAUGCGUGAGGGGAGGUGAAGCGGCGGCAGCUACAAAGCAUGAGGCUAGGGUUUUUUUGUUUGGUUGAAAACUAGUAUAGUUUGGGCCAUUCGGGCCUCUAAGGUUUUUAUCAUUAUUGGGCAUUUGGAUUGGGUCUGUUUUUUGGGUUAAUUUUGUUGUAAUGGUCUGUUAAUUUUUAUUAGUCUUGGUCCAUUUGGGUUUUAUGGUCUGGGCCCGGGCAAAAAUGGGCUUUUACACUAAAUAAUAAAAAAUGUUAUUUUGAAAACUUACAUUAAUCCUGAAAAUGUAAGAUUACUUAAACCCAACAGUAGCAUAAACUAAUACUGAUUGCAAUUCCGUUUACUCUUUGUUUGAUGGUUCUCCUAAGGCCUGUAGAA